rnacentral:rRNA from 1 species
ACGCUCGACACCUACGGGGGGCAGCAGUGGGGAAUAUUGCACAAUGGGGGAAACCCUGAUGCAGCAACGCCGCGUGAAGGAAGACGGUUUUCGGAUUGUAAACUUCUAUCAAUAGGGAAGAAAGAAAUGACGGUACCUAAAUAAGAAGCCCCGGCUAACUACGUGCCAGCAGCUGCGGUAAUCUGAGCGGGCUGGCAAGGC